CAAAAAUCACCAAAAAUCACUACAAUAGCUGAAAAAUCAUUUGGAGGCAAAACACUUAGCUAAAACUUUGUUUUUUCCGCCACCCUCUCACUUGGACCAAAUACUUAAAAAAAAAAUUUAGCAAAAAAAAAUAUCUCAUUUUCUCAGAAAAUCCAUCCUCCAUCGCUUCUCAACCUCCGUCGCCACCACCACGGAGACAACAACACACCAACAAACCUUUGUCGCCUUUCGAACACCGAUGACAGAGUGAAAACAAAACCACCGAUGUCGCUUCCGAUUCAGAUUCUGGAUCUGAGACUGAUUCCGAUGGCUUCUUACAUGGCUUCCACGACUUCUUCUUCCCUUCUCUCUCACGGUUCUCUCUCUCUCUCUUCUCAAGGAAACAAAGUUAGAGUCUUUUUUUUAAUCUCGAUGGUGAUUCUGUGAAAUGGAAGCUUCGUGUGUACCUUUCUUUUUUUCAUCUCGGUUCUAGGGUUAAAUACUUAGCCUUUAAUAGUUCCUCUAGGUGAAUGUUUCUCCUUUGACAUUUUUCUGAAUCUUAUUCAACGGAUUUAAGUCCUACUAUUUUUUGCUUUUUAUGCCUUCAUUGUUGUGUGAAUUCUUAUGUUUGAAUUAUUAUUGAUUUUGUUUGUAUGGUAUACAGAGGCUGGAGAUGGAGAAGAAAAGGUAGGCUUGUUUUUGUUGUUUUUCCUCAUAUUAGUACCUUAGCUAGGAUUGGUAUUUGUACAAGGUUCUGUUGGGUUUUAGAUGAAGAGUAUGAAUGUUAAAAGUUUGAAUCUUUCUACUUUUAAUUGGGGCUGAUUUGUGCAGUUUGUUAUGUUUCUUCUUUAGCAAUGUGUCUAUUGCAGUUGACAACUCGCUAAGCCCAGCUCACACCCUCAUUCAAGGGAGUGACAGAACAGACAGAACCUCUCAAGGGACUUACUACUGAUGAAAAUACUGCUCCGCCAUAAGUUGCUACUUUGGGGACUGUAAGUCCUUAAGUAUUGUGGUGAGACUGAGUUUCUCGAUAAACUGGAGAUGAUGAGAAUUAAUGGCUGCAAGAAAGGUGACUCUUCCAAUAUGAUAGGAAGCCAGGUAGUCACCCUCGGUGUAUCAAGAUCUUGGUUUCGGACUAUAUACCAAGUGUUCCCAUCUGUUGGAGCUUGUUGAAGAAUAAUAAAUCCUCAAUUGCUGAUUUUGAUCCAAGAUAAAAAAGUGCUUUUAUUUUUUUAAAGUUAAGAUAUUUAGGUGAAGUUAGUUUUUUUCUGGGAUCUCAUUGUAGAUUGUUAGGUCUGCUAAUUCGCAUAUUACCAAUUCAGUGACUCUUGGUUCCAAAUUCGUUUUGGUGGUCAUAGUCUUCUUUAGUCAUGGUUUGGUUCUAAGCGAGUAAGAAUCUCUUUCCAAUCUUCUCUGUUUUCUCUCUUGUGGUUAUGUACCUCUUCACAUCUGGAGUUUAGUUAGCUUUGUAGGAAUCUGUACUCACAUAUGAAUUCAUUUGGCAUUUGUUUUCACAGCUAUUGAUCGAUAAGGGGGCCUGUUUUAGCUGCCAUGAACUCCAACAAGUUUGUUCUUCUCUCUAUUUCUCCGCCUGUAAGAUGGCUGCAAGAUAGGAAGCCAAAAACACAUCUGCUUUGAAGUCCCAGAUUGAAUAGCUACAACAGGAGAGGGAUGGAUUUCAAAGGAUGGUGAUUGGAAACCAGUUACUAUAAGGUGAUCUGCUGAUGGUAUGAGUGGAGAUCUACUAGGACUGCUUCGGUUUCUCUAUUACUUGGUUUGGUAAAGAAAUGUACUUACCUUCUUUUUCUUUAUGACUUGGUGAUUCAAGCAUUUAUAUCUUUUGGGUAUUUGAUAGAAUGAUUUUAUGUAAAAUGUGUGUUUUAUAAAUUUAAUGUAAUAUUAAUUUUAUUUAUGAAUCAAUUUGUAAUUUAUA